AACGAACGCUGGCGGCAUGCCUAACACAUGCAAGUCGAACGGACCCUUCGGGGUUAGUGGCGCACGGGUGCGUAACGCGUGGGAAUCUGCCCUUGGGUACUGAAUAACUCUCCGAAAGGGGUGCUAAUACCGUAUGAUGUCGCGAGACCAAAGAUUUAUCGCCUGAGGAUGAGCCCGCGUUGGAUUAGCUAGUUGGUGAGGUAAAGGCUCACCAAGGCGACGAUCCAUAGCUGGUCUGAGAGGAUGAUCAGCCACACUGGGACUGAGACACGGCCCAGACUCCUACGGGAGGCAGCAGUGGGGAAUAUUGGACAAUGGGGGCAACCCUGAUCCAGCAAUGCCGCGUGAGUGAUGAAGGCCUUAGGGUUGUAAAGCUCUUUUACCCGGGAAGAUAAUGACUGUACCGGGAGAAUAAGCCCCGGCUAACUCCGUGCCAGCCGCCGCCGUAAAAC
rnacentral:rRNA from 1 species